GGCGGUCCUCUGAGGGCAGUAGCCGGGCCCGAUGAGCAAAUCUGUCGCUGGAUUGUGUUGGAGAAGAUGAGCUGCUUGUUGAAGAUUUGAAACGAACAACAAAAUCCUCUUACAUGGCAGUCAGCUCCAAAGGGACCAGCUGUAGGAGUGCAUGCUCAGCUGAAGCAUUAGAAGUAUCCCUGUGUGCCUGUUCCAUGGCGCUGCUGAGGUCUGAGCCCAUCAGUUCUGCCCAUGGGAGGUUGGGUAGUGCUGGUCACUGUCACAUCAUGCAUUCACAUUUCUGUAUCCCAGGGUAAACUUAUGCACAUGUUACUUCAUAAGGCAAGCCCCCUAACUCUUAGCUAUCCAUGAGACCCAAGUGAAUCUUACUAGUAAAAGACUGCACUGUGUUGAGGGAUCCAAGAUGUUGAUGAUGAAGUCAUUGUAAACUUGUCCGGAAGCUGAUGAGGGAAUGCUUUGGCACACUACUUUGUAUAGGUCCUGUAAGCACCUAGCUGCAGGUUCUGCUACCUAUUAUCAUGGCAGAACUACUUAAUAAUGUUCAUUCCUAAGUGAACAUUAAGCCUUUCAAAACUCUGACUUCUGUCAUUUUGUUCCAGUGUUAUUUUGGCUUUUAACCCAAAUGUCUGAUGUUAGCACAAGUAACUUCUCAUGCAGAACAUCAAAAGCAAACACAAAUAGAACAGGAAUCUUUUUUUUUUUUUUUU
rnacentral:lncRNA from 1 species